rnacentral:rRNA from 1 species
UGACUUGGACACUAUUAUUAUGAUC